UACAGAGGGUGCGAGCGUUAAUCGGAAUUACUGGGCGUAAAGCGCGCGUAGGCGGCUUUGCAAGUCGGGUGUGAAAUCCCCAGGCUUAACCUGGGAACUGCAUUCGAGACUGCAUUGCUAGAGUAUGGGAGAGGGAAGUGGAAUUUCCGGUGUAGCGGUGAAAUGCGUAGUAUAUCGAAGGAAGCAUCAGUGGCGAAAGCGACUUCCUGGACCAAUACUGACGCUCAUGUGCGAAAGCGUGGGGAGCAAACAGG
rnacentral:rRNA from 1 species